rnacentral:lncRNA from 1 species
GAAGGUUUGCCCCUCAGUGGGAAGAAAGCUUCCAACUCCCAGCGGUUCCAGCAGAAGUCCUGGGGCUGGAGAGCUGUUCCUGAGUUGCCUGUGAUCACAUACCACACCUGAUGGCAUCACUGUAUCCAGGCUCCAGGUGCAUAGAAUGUUGUGAGGUCAUGACUGCCAGCAUUAUGACCAGUCUUGGAACUAGGAUUGGGGUGGGGUUCAUCCCACCCAGACCACAGAGACUGAAAAUAAGAAAGGGGUGAGGCCUAAGGGACAAUCAGGAUGUUUUUCAGAGAGAAGUGUGGAUGCUGGACAGGAAGAACCACAGAUACCAGAUACGGGUACUGUUGUAACUCUGUUCUCCAUGAAAAAAAAGGAAGAAUCAACACUUUCAGAGAUGGAGCCUGUUGAGCCACAGUACCAACUAGUCAAUGCUGAAUCGACUUCUCCCUUUCUACAUUGCCUGAGAGAAGUCAUUGGGGAAUACUCUGUACACGAAUUUUCACUGUUGGGGAAAACAGGUAUUGGAAGUGAUGGGUAGACCUCAGUUUGUAUGCAUUGUGUUAAUUACUAUUUCUUUGCUUUUCCUUUUUUUGUGCGGUUGCAGAGAGUCAAGGGAUUGGAUUGUGGAUUGCAUUGGUGGUUUUCCUCAGUUUCCUCAUCUUCUCCACAAGUUUCUACAUAUCGAAUGCAGAGCAGCCCUUCUUCAAAGGACCUCCUACGGAAGCUGCUAAGGAACUCAGUCUGUAGCUCUGCGUGGAGCCAUGUGUAAACACUGAACUGAGACCUGCCACCUCCUACUACCUAAGGGCCCAUUUUCAUCUGAUAUCAUCCCCCAGAAACAAACUCAUGAUGACUUCCAUGUUUUUUUUAGAUUAGAUACAUGGAGAAUUUUCCUUUCCCUUAGAAUUAAAAUCCUGCAUUCUAAUUUUCAGUAAGCUUUUUUAUUUCUGAAUAAUUUUAAAUUUAAAGAGAAGUUGCAAAGAUAGUAUAGAAUGUUCCCUUAUACCUGUUUUUAUUUAGAGUGAUGUUCCCAGGAGAAAUGAUAAUGCAGCAAUGGACAAGAACAGGAACAAGAGACAGUCUUACCAUCUUCUUACAAUUUAUAGAUGGGACAGUGGAAAGAGAAGCCACAUCGGGGUUGGGCAUGCAGAGACCUGGUCCUAAAUCUGUGUGACUUUUGCGAAAUCCUUUUGCCUCACAGAGCUCUAGGUUCUUAUCUGUCAAACAGGAACCAGACCAUCAGAUCCGUAGAGAUCCAACCAAUGAAGGAGACUUCGAAAACUUCACAUUGCCGUGUCAAUGUGAGGUUGCUGGAUGGUUAUGACAAGAAAUCACAUUAAAUUCACUGGGGUAACAUUGUUCAUGAAACGGGAUAAUGUGUUUCAGCGAUGAACCACCCAUGGCCUUACUACAGACAUAUUUCCACUUUGAAAAUGUGUGUGAGUGUACAUGUCUGUGUGUGAGGCAGAGAUUAGAAAGUGUAAAUGUGUGCGUUUUCAUUUUACACAUCUUACAUUUUCCUUUAAUUUGUUUGAAAGCCUGUUUUGUUUGUGGCUUCCAUUCCUGGAAGUCCCAUGAGUUGUUAGUGGUGAAGAUGGAACAGAUGUGUCCAACCCGGGGGACUCCUGCCCUCAGGGACUGAGCAGCUGCAAACCUCUCUCUCAUCUGAUUCCACUGUUUCUUCCACAUGUACACAUCAUGAGAAAUAUUGUUCAAUCAAUAUCUUCCCUUAAAUCAACUCAUAUGCUUAUUUACAUGAAUUUACCUAAAACAGAAACUUGAUAUCACUUCUGUAAAUGAAAAAAUUAAACUUUCUGGCUUUAAAUAAAGCAUAACAAUAAUAAUCAUGUCA